GAAAGUUAUAAAGCUGCUAACUUUAAAAUUUAAAUUCUUUUUUUCU
rnacentral:tRNA from 1 species